rnacentral:rRNA from 1 species
AGCAGCCGCGGUAAUUCCAGCUCCAAUAGCGUAUAUUAAAGUUGUUGCAGUUAAAAAGCUCGUAGUUGAAUUUUAGGCCUGACCGGACGGUCCGUCUUUGGCGAGUACUGUUCUGUUGUCGGGUCUAUCCUUCUGGUGAGCCGGUAUGUCCUUUAUUGGGUGUGUCGGGGAACCAGGACCAUUACCUUGAAAAAAUUAGAGUGUUUAAAGCGGGCUUUUGCUUGAAUAGAUUAGCAUGGAAUAAUAGAAUAGGACGUUGGUUCUAUUUUGUUGGUCUAGGACCACCGUAAUGAUUAAUAGGGAUAGUUGGGGGCAUUAGUAUUCAAUUGUCAGAGGUGAAAUUCUUGGAUUUAUUGAAGACUAACUACUGCGAAAGCAUUUGCCAAGGAUGUUUUCAUUAAUCAAGAACGAAAGUUAGGGGAUCGAAGACGAUCAGAUACCGUCGUAGUCUUAACCAUAAACUAUGCCGACUAGGAAUCGGGCGACGUUAUUUUCAUGACUCGCUCGGCGCCUUAUG